GCUGCCGUGGCUCAGCUGGUAGAGCAGCUGAUUCGUAAUCAGCAGGUCAGCGGUUCAAGUCCGCUCGGCAGCUCCA
rnacentral:tRNA from 1 species